AGACUAGAUGGGGUAUCCCUACAU
rnacentral:siRNA from 1 species